rnacentral:rRNA from 1 species
CCUACGGGAGGCAGCAGUGAGGAAUAUUGCACAAUGGGGGAAACCCUGAUGCAGCGACGCCGCGUGAGUGAAGAAGUAAUUCGUUAUGUAAAGCUCUAUCAGCAGGGAAGAAAAUGACGGUACCUGAGUACGACGCCCCGGCUAACUACGUGCCAGCCGCCGCGGUAAUACGUAGGGGGCAAGCGUUAUCCGGAUUUACUGGGUGUAAAGGGAGCGUAGACGGCAGUGCAAGUCUGGAGUGAAAGGCGGGGGCUCAACCCCCGGACUGCUCUGGAAACUGUACGGCUGGAGUGCAGGAGAGGUAAGUGGAAUUCCUAGUGUAGCGGUGAAAUGCGUAGAUAUUAGGAGGAACACCAGUGGCGAAGGCGGCUUACUGGACUGUAACUGACGUUGAGGCUCGAAAGCGUGGGGAGCAAACAGGAUUAGAUACCCGGGUAGUC